AGCAUUCAUUGAAAUUAAUUAUAUGCCGCGUCGAUGCUGCAUCCAAAUUAAAUUUCAUCGAUUAAAUGUAUUUAAUUUCAUCUAUUAAUAUCAAUUAAUUGUUUAGCAAUAGAUUUGUUUUUUUGUGAAUUUUAUCUCGAAUUGUUUGAUUCCUACAAAGAAUAUCGUCUUCUAAUUUCUUCUUGAGUUCUCUACUUCUCCUGGCAAAGUUGAAGUUUGUGGUUGGGUGCCGGCUGCCAUCUUGGACCUCGCUCGUUUGAGAAGCCGGCCGCCCGUAAAAAUCUCGAGUUUGUCAAGCUCGCGCGGCCUCAGGAAUCCUAUACGCAACUUUCUUAGUAUUGCAACAAAUUUGGAAUCCUAUUGCAGUCAAAACAGUCAAAAUUUGGACACGGAAUGCUUUAGGUUUACUUUUGUCAGCACGUGUUUGUGGGUGGGCAAGUGGAAAAUUGAGAUCAAUUAGUAACGAUAAGAAUUUGGUAGUUGGCCGAGACAGUGCGGCUGUCAGUACACCAAAUAAAAACACACAUAUAAUUGAGAAAAUGGCACUACCAAGCAGAGCAAGAGUUUAUGCAGACGUGAAUUCACACAAAUCUAGGGAUUAUUGGGAUUAUGAAUCGUAUGUUGUUGAUUGGGGACAGCAAGAUGAUUAUCAGUUAGUAAGAAAACUUGGCAGAGGAAAGUAUAGUGAAGUAUUUGAAGCCAUAAAUGUAACGACCACUGAAAAAUGUGUUGUAAAGAUCUUGAAGCCUGUAAAAAAGAAGAAAAUAAAAAGGGAAAUUAAAAUCUUAGAAAAUCUUAAAGGCGGGACCAACAUAAUUACACUCCAAGCAGUUGUUAAAGAUCCAGUAUCAAGGACACCAGCACUAAUUUUUGAACAUGUCAACAACACAGAUUUCAAGCAAUUAUACCAGACUCUAACAGACUACGACAUAAGAUACUACCUCUACGAACUAUUAAAAGCACUGGACUAUUGUCACAGCAUGGGUAUAAUGCACAGAGAUGUAAAGCCGCACAAUGUCAUGAUAGACCAUGAAAACCGAAAGUUGCGGUUAAUUGAUUGGGGCCUAGCAGAAUUUUAUCAUCCUGGGCAAGAGUACAACGUUCGAGUAGCUUCACGCUAUUUUAAAGGCCCAGAACUACUUGUAGAUUAUCAGAUGUAUGACUAUUCCCUAGAUAUGUGGUCGUUGGGCUGUAUGCUCGCGAGUAUGAUUUUUAGAAAAGAACCAUUCUUUCAUGGACAUGACAAUUACGACCAACUAGUUAGAAUUGCAAAAGUUCUUGGAACCGAAGAACUAUUGGAAUAUCUUGAUAAAUACCAUAUCGAAUUAGAUCCUCGUUUUAAUGACAUAUUAGGAAGGCACUCGCGUAAGCGUUGGGAACGUUUCGUGCACUCAGAAAAUCAACAUUUAGUUUCGCCCGAAAGUCUUGAUUUUCUUGACAAACUUUUGCGUUAUGACCAUUUUGAAAGACUCACAGCACGUGAGGCUAUGGACCAUCCUUACUUUUAUCCCAUAGUAAAAGAACAGGGUCGAUUAAAUAUGGUAUCAUCAUCACCUACUCCCAUGGCAGGCUCAUUGCCUGUAGGUGAGUAGCAACCCAGAUGACCGUAGCAUGACUGUGAACAGCUUACCAGUUCAUGGAACAAACGGAUUGGGAAGUAUGGACGGAGUUACAAGUGGGGUUCUGAUGCCCUUGGAAGAACUGCGUCCACUUUUAUAAGUUCAGUAUUUCUGAACUAUACAUUAACUCCCAGUCUACAUCCUAAUACAACACAGCAACAGCAGAUAUAUUGUAUCGUCAACUACAUACUCCUCUGCACCACAAUCAUUCUGCCAAGUACUCUUUGUGCUCUGUGAAUACCUGUGCAUCCAGCAGUAGAUGCUACCGACGCUGGUCGGCCAUCAUUAUUCUACAAGAAUUAGGAAACCAUCAAUUUGGAAGUGCGAUGUAAGAUAAAUUCGAUACAGAGAUCUCAACAAUAACUGAUUAUGUACGUUUCAUCGUGGUCUUUCUCCUUUCAUAUUUAACAAAAGAUGAUGAUUUUUUUUGAAUAUUAUUAAAGUCAAAAAUAGAUUCCUCAAACAAGAUUCAAAUUAUGAAUAUGCAUGUUAUUUAGUUAAAGCAAAUACACAGGUACCUUAAAAAACUUGGCAUGAUAUAGCGCCUGACAAAACUUCAAAAUACUAUCGAUAUAAUACGCAUUAGAUCACAUCCCCAACAUGGUAUUAUAUAUGUAUGUGUAUACUUGUACAUUUGGCGCGCUGGUCCGUCUUUUAAAAAUAAUUUUAGGUUAUUGUUUUUUGAUUAUCUAGCCAACCGUCAUGUAAGCCGAUCACGUGAUUAUCUUAUGAAUAUAUUAAAGAAAAGCACACAUUCUAUAACUCGUCAAGAAAUCAAGAGGGGCAUGCUUGUAAACAAUGUACAGUAAUGAAACACACUCCACUUGCAUGCUAUGAUUUUUCGUACUAUUUUUGACAGAAUUUAUCAGUUCCUAUACAUAAUAACAAUUGUUCAUAGAAAAAGGUCAAUUGAACGUUAUUUGUACAUUUCCAUGUAAACAACGUUCACUGGUAUCAAGCGGAGUGUGAAAUUUAAAAAUCGAAAAGAAAAGGAGAAACGAAAAUUUCUCAACGUGUUAUGUACGGAAUAGCAUUCAUUUUUUUAUUCUUGUCACUGCGCCGUUUAAGCCUUAUCUUCGUGUAUUUUAAGAUACUAUACAUGUUUCUAUGUGCGUGUAUACUGUGUGUGUGUGUGUUCUGUAAGAUGCGCGCGCACGCAGCAAAAUGUAGAUGACGAAUGCAUAAACAUAGAAGAAUACAAAUUCAAAGUGAGAGAAGGUGAAAAGGUGAAAAACAAAAUAAAUAAUCCGUAUAUGCAAUGAAAGUAACUGCUAAUAACGGAUAUAUAUAUAUAUAUAUAUAUAUACACACACAUAUAUAUAUACACAUAUAUAUACAUAUAUAUACAUAUAUAUAUAUAUAUAUAUAUAUAUUUCUUCUAGGACUAUUUUAUUGCCAUUUAACGAAAUUAUCAUUAAUCGCACAUUGCGAAAGGCAUUUAAUUUUAGUCCUUUAUAAAUGGCAAAACGGCGCUAUUGUAUUAUUUCGCCCAAAAUUGAUAUCUCUCUCCCUGUUCAUAUACGUUAAGUUUAUCAUAAUCUAGUUUAGUUUUAUAGAAGAAUAUAUUAAAUAAUUACUAUUUAAAUAAGCAAAUUAACUUGAGAUAUAAUAAUAAACAAAUUGUCAACACAAAAUGACAAAUAAUAUAUUGCGCUAGCUUCUCUUUUGCAUUAUAUUAUAUAAUACAUGCUAAUUUUUGGGAUAUUAGAGUAUCCGGAAAAAAGUUACUCUAUCAUUUACUAUUACGUAGCAAUCAGUUUUCUCUUUAUUGUUCAUCCUUGUGUUUUCUUCUAAACAAUUAUUUCAAAUAACAAGUAAAAUAAAUGAGUAUUUCAUCUACCAUUUCAAUGGGAUCCUACAUUAAUAAAUAUCUUAAUCAAUUUUUUUGUAUCAAAUUCUACGAAAAAAUAAAAUAUAUGGUGAAUAUUUUUCUUUUUGGUCAUAUGUAGAAGCCACCUAAUGGUUGCUGUAAUGAAGGAUAUUUUAAUAUGGUUGAGAUAUGACAAUAAAAUUUGCCAAAGUGCACAGAA